AAUCUGAAAUACAAAGUAUUUAGAGGACAAGAACAAUCUGACUUACUGUUUGUUAUUUACGUUCCCUUUUCCAGGGAGUGAAAAUGCUGGAAAUAAAGGAGAGGAGCUACUUUGCAGAAUUUCCAAAAUUUCAAAUUUGUAGAAAUUUGCCCCAGAAAGAGGCCGCUGGUGAAGCUGGGAACUCAUCCGUCCCCCUGGUGUCACAGGGAGAGGCCAAAGCUGGAACCAGUUCCCGAAGCAUUCGUGAUCUGGUGGCUCACCAGGACAUUGGUUCGAGACACGAGACUCCAAUCCAUGAGUUUUGGGAGAUGCUCCUGUGGCCACGUGGACCAUCUCGAGUAGUGUCUGUGUCUGUCUGUCGGCCAGGAGCUGGUCCAUCUGUCCGGUCCUGUCGGCGGUCCCAUGUGCUGGAGAGGAUGCAGCGCUUGAUACAUGGUUUAUACCCAGAAGAGGCAGGGCGUGAAGCCGUGGGAAACCUCCCCCAUGGAAAUGGUGGUGGUUUCUGGUGGAGCAGCAGCUGAUGGUCCACACACCCAGCAGCUCCAGGGCUCCCACUGGCCACUGGGCAACAGCCAAGGGAAAGCUGUCACCGUCUGGUGGCUGUUGGGUGUCCAACGUGACAUGGAGACACCGCAGGGGAAAGUGGAAGACAGACGGUUGAGUUACUCCUGAAUCCAAAUUCAGGUUCAGAGCCACGUGCUUUGCAACUGGUAAAGAUUAAGAUCUUCAUUUUGGCAUUUCUCCUGUGUUCUGGAGCCAGAGCUUGGCCUGUUUCUUCUCUGCGUGGGAGCUGGGGGAAGGCUGGUGUGCCAGAUGGGUGUUUUUAGGUCACUUCCAGAGAAGUGGAUUCGUUUCGAUGGAACCAGCCCAUGCAUUGGCACUCAGCCACGUUGUGGUGGGGAUGGAGGAUGGUUUCCACCUUCCAUUGUCUCACUGUCAGAAGUUUUGACCUUGCUCACACAUCUAUUAAGGCUUGAUUUAUCUUCACUGACGUUCAGACUCUGACCCUGCCAAGAUCGUUGUCGGACCAUCUCUGGGUUUCAGUGGCCAAACACUCAAAAGCAGGAGCGCCCAUCAAGGGCUUCCUCUGCCAAGAGCAAACCAAAGACCAACCUGUGCUGAACUAAUUCAAUCCCUCUCUUCAGAAGGUCCCUCUGCUUUCCUGGAACCACCUGGUUCAUUAGGAAUUGGGCUUUUGCAUGUAUUAGAACUGUAGAGCUCUCAUUCCCACAGGCACGUGGGGACGUGGUGGAAUGAAUGUGCAUGUUGUGUCUUGAUAAUGUAGUUUUCUGGGGUUGUCAGACUUUUUGAAGGUGUGAAACGGGGACCAGUUUGACCUCACACGAGGCAUUGGGUCCUUAACUAACUGUGCAAUGCCAUAGACAUUUGUCCACCUAAAAUACAGUAUUAACACUAAUCAGAUAUUAUUUAGAAAGUAUGUGGUAAGCGACAACUGCUGCACUGAAAAUUAAAUUAAGGCUGUUAAAUAGAUUUGAGUUUAAAGAAAACAACUUUUGGUGA
rnacentral:lncRNA from 1 species